rnacentral:rRNA from 1 species
UGAUACCACCCGUUAACUGCAGCGAUAAUACUUGUUCCCUUCGGGGUGGUAGUAGUAUUUGUGCUGAAACCUAGCUAUUGUAACUCAGUUUCUCUGGGUAUAGCAAUAUAUUCAGGGGAGCUGGGCAUCGACCGCUAGCAGGUGCCCGCAAGGGCGCGGGAAAGUGAGCUAACAAGGUUUUCAUAAGGCCUUUCAGGUUUGCUUUUUCUAGUGGCCAGGCAGAGGUGUUUCUUACCUAUCAGCUCGUUGUUUGUUUAAAGGACAAACAAGGCUUUGACGGGUACGGGGAAUCAGUGUUCGAUUCCGGAGAGGGAGCCUGAGAGAUCGCUACCACAUCUAAGGACGGCAGCAGGCGCGCAAAUUACCCAAUCCCAACACGGGGAGGUAGUGACAAGAUAUAGUGUCUCAUCACCUUCGGUGGUGAGGUAUUAUCAUUUGAUAAUUUUCCAUGAUUUGGGUGUAGAUAACCCUAGAGCAGCCAUGAGAAUCGGU